rnacentral:rRNA from 1 species
GACGUAGGUGGCGAACGUUAUCCGGAAUUAUUGGGCGUAAAGGGUGCGUAGAUGGCCUGAUAAGUUAGCAGUGGGAAAUCGAGGCUCAACCUCGUGGAAGCUGGUAAUACUGUCAGGCUCGAGUGCAGGAGAGGUUAACGGAACUCCAUGUGGAGCGGUAAAAUGUGUAGAUAUAUGGAAGAACACCAAUAACGGCGAAGGCAGUUAACUAUUCUGUUACUGACGUUGAGGCACGAAAGCGUGGGGAGCAAAACGG